UGACAUCUGCUCCCUGAGAGGUGACGUGGGAAGCCCUGCACUGUGAGUCCAUUGAGUAGGACGCACCCAGGCCUCUUCUUUUCUCCAGGAUAUGUGCAAGAUGAGAGCCAGCCAUCGUCUCCUGAUGGUGGAGAUUUGAUCUGAAGCAUUCAAAUAGGAAAUGAAUGCUCAGAGGAAGCUUCAAAUUUCUUUCUACUUGAAGAAGCUGAAUUGCAGAAGCUAUCUCUGUCCUGUUAAUCACCGGGUCCACAGUGAAACCAGCCAACUUCAGAGAAGACUCUUGUGCUGAGUGACUCCUGACCGUAACUAAGUGUCCUUCUCUCUGAGACGUUCCCUCGGAGCUUGUUCUGACAGCCCUCACCUCCAGUGACGUCCACGAACUUUUCCACACGAGGGGUUCUCUGCUUCCCUCCAUCUGAGCUGCGCAAUUCCACCAGGCCUUU
ensembl:lincRNA Gm43733 predicted gene 43733